UGCGCUCAGAGAGCAUGCGCCAGCUCACCUCCUGUGGAUGGGGUGUGGGUGUAUGGCUGGCACGCCUAGCGCCCACACCCUGGGAGAGGACAGGACAGGCACUCAUCUGGGAAACUGCCCUCAGCCUCCGGCUUGGCCACUCCUCUCCUGCCCGCAGCUCUCCAGGUGGCUCCCGACUGCUGGCCUGCUGCUGGGCUCCAGGCAGGGACGUCCUCCCCCAGCCGCCCGGGGGGGUUCGGGGCUCGUCGCACCAGCCGCUGCCUGGCAGCCUCCCCGGCUGACGCAGCUCCCGUCGACAGGGCAUUACCACGCUGCUGAAUGUUCCCUCCUUGCUGCCCGGUUCCACUUCUGUUCUGGUGCUCAGGACCUGUCCACAUCCCCGUGACAUCAGCAAAGCCUGAGUUGUGGACCGAUGGACGCAGCCCUCCCAGGUCCCGCCAGCUCGAAGCGCUCAGAGCCAAACUCCUCCUGAGGCCAGUCAGCAGCCACACGGCGGGGAGUAUGGACCUCAGACUGCACGGCCCAACUUCCCCUCGACCCGCAGAAAAGGGCGCGUGGGGUCACUGGCCGCCAGGAAGGAGCGCUCUUGUCUUGGCAUCGAGAGCUCCUGCGUGCUGCCGCUGGCCCCGGCCAGCAAGGAGAGCCCACCAGGGAGCCCGCGCAGAGGCGGGGCCUGCGGGGAUUUUCCGGGGGAAGGACUUGCACAGGGAGUGGCACGGCAGUGGGAAGCGCUCGCUCACAGGGAGCAGUGGUGUGGACACAAAGGAGGCCCUGCUGGAGCCCGGGACACUGCAGCUCAAACCCCGUCUCCGCCUGAGGAAAAGGAAUUCUGGUGCCAGGGAUGAGGAUCGCAAAGCAGGAAAUCCAAGGUCAAGCUUGGACCAUGGGGCCCUGAGGGCCACUGAGGAGGUCUGGUCUGCCUGCCCUUGGACUGGUGCCAAGAACCCUCCUCGUUUGCUCCUCUGUCCCUUUCCAUUCCACAUUCUCAGCUAUGUUCUCAUUCUUGCCCUACCUACUGCUGCUGUCACCCUAUCAUUUGCCCUCGAAAACAACAAGUUCUUAUUUGGUGUGCAAUCAAAGCCUCAGGCAAGAAGCGGGAAAGGUUCCUUCUUCCUCCAAAGUGGUAGAAAUGCGGCCGCUGCCCUGCCCGGGCUCAGGAAGCGGUCUUUGGGAAUGGUUUAAGCCUGACAGUCCUCCUGGGUACUCUCGGCUCCCGCUGGGUAGAACACCGAAAUGCUCUCUGGUGUGGAUCCCCGUGUUUGCUUCAGGAACCCGGGGAGGGGCAGCUGGCUCUUUUCGCUUCUCCCUUCUAAAAUAAACAAAC
rnacentral:lncRNA from 1 species